UUGAACUGAACCCCAUGGCAACAAAUACAAACAUAAACGAGGGCUCUUCUCUUUAAGCAUUUUCUUCUCUUCUUUGCAGGCAAGAGUUUGAGAACAUCAGAAACUGGGUUGUACCACUUGUGACUAAGCAGAGGCCCAGUUCGGUGACCGAGGAGCCGCCAGGGCGACGCGGGCCUCCUGCAGGACAAUGGCCCCUGCCCGCUACGCGCGCGCCACUCCCGGCCCGGGAGCCCUGGCCACCGGCGCUUGACGCACGCGGAGCCGCGGGGGCCGCGACCCCGGCCUCUCGGAACCGGAGAGCGGCUCGCAAGACGAGCCGGGUCAGGUCCCCGGGGGAGGCCGAGCGCCACCCGACCCGCAGGAACGCGGGUGGCCGUAAGGGAGGGACUGGGGAUGCGGGCACAUCCUUCCGUUGCCGCUCUGCCUCUGCACCCCCGGGCAUGGCGCCGGCCGGUCCCAUUUCAUCCUCCCCAUUAACCUCCAAAGCGGUGUUGCCAUGAGCCACGUUCACAAACGAAAUCCUCCAGCCUCACGGACGAUGUGAACUUGCCCCAGCUGCCUCGGCUGGGAAGGUGGAGUGAAGGGAUUUGAAUACAGGACUUUUUUUCUUCUUUUACUCUAUUUCGCUUGGCUCCCGAUUUCUAGGGCGCCAAGGAAGGUAAUUCGCGCCCCUUCGCGCCGGCUGUCGUGAUGCUUCCCGGAGCAGUCCUGGGUGCGCCUUCUGGGGAGCGCUGGGGCGGAGGCAUCGGCUGCGCUGAGUGAUGCAGGUGCUGAAGGAACAGCAAUGAAAUGGAAAGAUAAGGUCUCUAUCCUAGUAACAGAUGAGGCUGGAAGGAGGAAGCAAGGCUGGAAUUUGGACUUGGGAUUUUAUCUGAAAAGCAAUAUAAAAUACUUAAAGGUUUUGGACAGUUUUUUCAGUCUCCAGCACCAGCUGGCCCCUGCAUGUAAGGAGGUUACUAGCUCAAGCAACACUGUUGGUGGACCCAUCGUCUGGCCCAGAUCAUAGAAGGAUCCUCAACUAAACCUGUUCAGUUCCAUCUUGUUUGGAGGGAGGCGUGUUCCUCAUUGUGCCCACAUCCUCACACAGACUGUCCAGUGCGGAGAGAGAAGUAAGGAAGGGAAACACACAGGAAGCAUGUCAAUAGGCUGAGAACUCUGCUACACUUUCAGAUGACAGCUCCCCUACAGACAGAUGGUUCAGGAAUCAGCUAAAUGCUGGAUUUCUUAACACUACCAGGAGUAACUCAGAAGGCUGGGGAUAUGGCUGGAAAGAUCAGACACCCAAGCUGUUGAAAACCACAGUUUUGGUAUAUAUACGCACAAUUUUAAAAAUGUAUUUGCAAAAAUCUAGUUGCCUCCAGUCCAGUCUUCCCUAUUAAUCAAAAGAUUUUUUUCUUGAGCUCUGUGGCCCAGUCUAUGAUCCCAGCUCUGACCGCUGCUGCCCAUGCAGGUCUCAAUGAAUUUCUCUCAGUCUCCAGACUGCCUUGGCUGACGACUUGUUCCUCUUGGGACACUUUUCGCCGGAGCUGAGCAGCCUGGCCCCCAGCUGUGCGGGGCCCUCUCUCCGACAGUGCUGCAUUUGCCCGGUGGUGGAGUAAACAUUUCCAGCUGGUUUCUGCUGGCUCCUUCAUCAAAGCUGCUUCUGAACCUCUUAUACUGCUCCUCCCAACAUGCAAAGCCUUUGGGUGGUUAGGAGUUUUCUCCACCAAAUUGUCAGUCCUGAUGACAGUACAAGACAGAAGCUGACUCACCCAGGUACACAAGGUCAUGAUGGACAGCUCCAGUCUCCAAUGGGCUAACUUUUAUUUUCAACUCCUCUAAUUAUUUUGUGUGUGUUUUAAGAGAAUUAGAAACAAUCAUAGCCACUUAUAUUAAGUGU